AUAUACAAAUAUAUGGGAAAAGUAAAUACAUUUACAUACUGUGAAUCAUUUUUGAAUCUAAAAUCGAUAUUGAAUCGAAUCGUGAGCCUAAAAAUCGGAAUCGAGACAAUUUCUGAAUUGUACACCCUUAAUAAAGAUGAGCUUUAUAGCGACUAGUUUGGCA